rnacentral:rRNA from 1 species
UACGGGGGGAGCAAGCGUUGUUCGGAAUUACUGGGCGUAAAGGGCGCGUAGGCGGCCUGCUAAGUCGAACGUGAAAUCCCUGGGCUCAACCCAGGAACUGCGUCCGAUACUGGUUGGCUUGAAUCCGGGAGAGGGAUGCGGAAUUCCAGGUGUAGCGGUGAAAUGCGUAGAUAUCUGGAGGAACACCGGUGGCGAAGGCGGCAUCCUGGACCGGCAUUGACGCUGAGGCGCGAAAGCCAGGGGAGCAAACGGG